GCGCGAGGUCGAGGCGCGUGAAGUGUAAUAUCAGUGUUGUGUCCAUUAAACACAAACAAACACAUUUAACUCCACAAAAAUAAUCUACAGUCUGUCUUUACUAGUUCUGUACAGUUCAAACACUGAUUUCUAGAUUACCCGCGGAGAGUUAGAUUACUGCAGAGAGCUGCUGAGAAAUGACUCCAGGCAAGGACAUCAGCUACAGCGGACCAGCCAUCAUUCAUAAAACACCACAAAACAGACAUUGGAGUAUUGCUGUGUGGAUUUGAUUGCAUGUAACAACAAGCAUGAGAUGAUCCCCCAUCUCAUCUCAAAAGUAUUGGAUGAAGCUCCAUCUUUCCAGAGAACCAGAGCUCAAUACUGGGAAAUGCAUUGUGCCAGUUGUUUUGUGUUCAUGUGCUCCAAAGAGUCCUAUUUUAUUGCCAAUACUUUUUGCAGAGAUUAGAAAAUGUGUGUUAAUGUGUGCAUGUGCACAUCUGCAUUAUCUAUUGGUGAAAUUAAAUUACCCUUAGAAGU